CAUGAAGUUGUUGCUACCUACAGAUCAAGAUAAUCAACAAAGAAUCAGUCAAGAUAAAUCAUAUUGUAUAUACGAUGCACUGCAGAAAAAUCACAGUAUAUAUACGCUGCACUGCUGAACAAUCAUAACUUAAAAGCAGCACUCCAGAUAAAAUCGCAGUGCAUAAACUAUGUAUUGACAAGUGGGUGAAGGCAAGUGCAUAAAAGCAGUACAUAAAAGCAUCACUCCAGAGGAAAGGCAAGCUUGAAGUCCAAAAUAAUCUCUGAAGAGGUUUAUUAUCCUCUAGCAUAUGCUUAGUUUCUGGAGAAGACGUUACACUAGUUCCUGAAGAAGAUGUUGCUUCUUGGUCCUCUUCAAAUAAGGAUAAUCUCAUGAUGUUUGAUUUCUUAUGAUAACACAUUUUUUGUUUGGAUGAAUACAUGUUUAUACAUGUGCAUGGUAAAACUAAAGCUCAUGAGGAUCUGCAUACUACAAGUCUUAUUAAU